AACUUUGUCCAAAAGUAAUCCAUCACUUAGACAGUGCAUUGUAAUGGACUCUAAGAGGCUGCCCAGGGCACCCUACCAGUUUUUGGUAGGUCUGUCCUCUCGAGUGCAGUUUCUGGGGUCGACUCUAUCAUUUUAAAAUGCGAUGUGUUGAUGGAAAGAGCGAUUUGAAUCUUUAAGAACCUGUCUGGAAGUUAUGAUGAAAGAGAGGUGUCAGAUGAUCCAUAUAUUU
rnacentral:snoRNA from 1 species